rnacentral:lncRNA from 1 species
GGACAAGGCCCCAGCCGUCGCGGGUUGCCGGGCAGAGUCGGACGCCGCCAGCUCUUCACUCCACGCCCACCUCUCUCCUGGAGCGCUGGGCCUUCGCUGGCCGCACCGGCAGCCAUGAGCUCGGAGAUGGAGCCGCUGCUCCUGGCCUGGAGCUAUUUUAGGCGCAGGAAGUUCCAGCUCUGCGCCGAUCUAUGCACGCAGAUGCUGGAGAAGUCCCCUUAUGACCAGUCCUGCUCCUGAUGGAUCUCCACAGAGCCAUGCCUGUCCUUGGUCUCUCCACAUCCUACGGUAGUCUGUGUUCCAUCCUUGCUGUCAUCCCACAUACUCAGCAGAGUCCUGCUCUGGGCCCAGAGUGUCUAGGUUCAAAUACUGCCUCUAUACCUUUGAGCCUUGUAGAACUAAUAAUGCAGUCUACUCAUUGGGACUUGGAGCUUAAAUGGAAAUGACCAAGAUGGAUUAGAAGGAUAUGAAAAAUAAAG